UACGUAGGGUGCGAGCGUUGUCCGGAAUUAUUGGGCGUAAAGAGCUCGUAGGCGGUCUGUUGCGUCGGCUGUGAAAACCCGGGGCUCAACCCCGGGCCUGCAGCCGAUACGGGCAGACUAGAGUUCGGCAGGGGAGACUGGAAUUCCUGGUGUAGCGGUGGAAUGCGCAGAUAUCAGGAGGAACACCGGUGGCGAAGGCGGGUCUCUGGGCCGAAACUGACGCUGAGGAGCGAAAGCGUGGGGAGCAAACAGG
rnacentral:rRNA from 1 species